GAUGAACGCUAGCGGCAGGCCUAACACAUGCAAGUCGAGGGGUAUAAGUCUUCGGACUUUGAGACCGGCGCACGGGUGCGUAACGCGUAUGCAAUCUACCUUGUACAGAGGGAUAGCCCAGAGAAAUUUGGAUUAAUACCUCAUAGUAUAUUUGAAUGGCAUCAUUUAAAUAUUAAAGUUCCAACGGUACGAGAUGAGCAUGCGUCCCAUUAGUUAGUUGGUGUGGUAACGGCACACCAAGACGAUGAUGGGUAGGGGUCCUGAGAGGGAGAUCCCCCACACUGGUACUGAGACACGGACCAGACUCCUACGGGAGGCAGCAGUGAGGAAUAUUGGUCGAUGGAGGCAACUCUGAACCAGCCAUGCCGCGUGCAGGAUGACGGUCCUAUGGAUUGUAAACUGCUUUUAUACGGGAAGAAAAAGAGUUACGUGUAACUUAUUGACGGUACCGUAAGAAUAAGGAUCGGCUAACUCCGUGCCAGCAGCCGCGGUAA
rnacentral:rRNA from 1 species